UACGGAGGAGGCAAGCGUUAUCCGGAAUUAUUGGGCGUAAAGCGCGCGCAGGCGGUUUGGCGCGCCCGAUGUGAAAGCCCCCGGCUUAACCGGGGAGAGUCGUCGGGGACGGCCGGGCUUGAGGGCGGGAGAGGGUGGUGGAAUUCCCGGUGUAGUGGUGAAAUGCGUAGAUAUCCGGAGGAACACCAGUGGCGAAGGCGGCCGCCUGGGCCUGACCUGACGCUGAGGCGCGAAGGCGUGGGGAGCGAACGGG
rnacentral:rRNA from 1 species